CGCCUGUUUAUCAAAAACAUCUUUUCUCGUUAGUUUUUGAAGUAUGGCCUGCCCACUGACCUUGAAUGUUGAAGGGCCGCGGUAUUUUGACCGUGCAAAGGUAGCAUAGUCAUUAGUUCUUUAAUUGUGAUCUGGUAUGAAUGGCUUGACGAGGCAUAGGCUGUCUUAAUUUUGAAUUGUUUAUUGAAUUUGGUCUUUGAGUUAAAAUUCUUAGAUGUUUUUAUGGGACGAGAAGACCCUAUAGAGUUUGACAUUUAUUAUGGUCUCUUUCUGUUUGUGAGGGUUCACUAGGGCUGUCUAAUAUGUUUUGUUGGGGUGAUGGGAGGGAUAUUAUUUAACCCCUCCUUUGUGUUGUUAUAUUUAUUUAUAUUUGCUUGAUCCAUUUAUUUUGAUUGUAAGAUUAAAUUACCUUAGGGAUAACAGCGUAA
rnacentral:rRNA from 1 species